AGAAAGUCGGAGUCCGGACUGCUGGGGUAAGCUUGUAGUCCGUAAGGGAGACAACCCAGCCCGUGGUUAAGGUCCCCAAGUGUCGACUAAGUGUUAAUACUAAAGGGCGUCCCAAGCCCAAGACAGCUGGAAGGUUAGCUUAGAAGCAGCUACCCUUCAAAGAGUGCGUAACAGCUCACCAGUCGAGGUUUGGGGCCCCGAAAAUUGACGGGGCUCAAGUCGACCACCGAUACCACGGAGUACCGUAAGGUAAUCUCGUAGGAAGGCGUUGCGUUCGGACUGAAGCAGGGCUGUAAAGUCCUGUGGACCGUUCGCAAACGAAAAUCCUGGUAAUAGUAGCAGCAAAGCAGGGUGAGAAUCCCUGCCGCCGAAGGGGCCAGGUUUCCUCGGCAAUGAUCGUCAGCCGAGGGUUAGUCGGUCCUAAGACGUACCGUAACUCGAGUACGCCGAAAGGGAAACAGGUUAAUAUUCCUGUACCAUUUAGCAAACAGUCUGACGUCUCAGGGCAGGCCGAGCGGCGUCGUCGCGCCGUCUAAGCAGCGAAUCCCGUGGAGAGCCGUAAUGGCGAGAAGCGGGCGAAUCUGUUAUGGCUCAAGUCGGCUGCACCCAGGGACCCGUGAAAAGGCCGCUAAAUGUCCGUACCGAGAUCUGACACAGGUGCCCCUAGCUGAAAAGGCUAAGGCGUGUCGGAGUAAUCCAGUUAAGGGAAUUCGGCAAAUUAGCUCCGUAACUUCGGGAUAAGGAGUGCCUGCUGUGAAGACAGCAGGUCGCAGUGACCAGGGGGCUCUAACUGUCUAAUACCAACAUAGGAGAUUGCAAACCCGUAAGGGCUAGUACAAUCUCUGAAUCCUGCUCAGUGCAGGUACCUGAAACCCCGGCUCAACGGGAAGAAGGGCCUGUAAACAGCGGGGGUAACUAUGACCCUCUUAAGGUAGCGUAGUACCUUGUCGCUUAAUUGGCGACUUGCAUGAAUGGAUUAAUGAGAGUCCUACUGUCCCUAACUGGAAUCCGGUGAAGCUUACAUUCUAGUGCACAGUCUAGAGACCUCUAGGGGGAAGUGAAGACCCCGUGGAGCUUUACUGCAGCCUGUCGCUGGGUUGUGGUUCUGGAUGUACAGAGUAGGUAGGAGGCGUCGAAGCGGGUGCGCCAGCAUCCGUGGAGCCACAAUUGGGACACUACCCUUCUGGGACUACGACCCUAACUCUGCGAAGAGGACCCCGAUAGGUGGGCAGUUUGCCUGGGGCGGGACGCCCUUGAAAAGAUAUCAAGGGCGCGCAAUGGUUGACUCAAGUGGGUCGGAAACUCACUGAAGAGUGCAAGAGCAUAAGUCAGCCUGACGUUAUUCAGCAUAGCAGUGGAUGACGAGACGAAAGUCGGCUCUAGCGAACUUUUGAGCCUCCUUGGUGGGGGCCAAAAAUGACAGAAAAGUUACCCCGGGGAUAAUUGAGUCGUUGCCGGCAAGAGUACAUAUCGACCCGGCAGCUUGCUACCUCGAUGUCGGUUCUUUCCAUCCUGGCCGUGCAGCAGCGGCCAAGGGUGAGGUUGUUCGCCUAUUAAAGGAGAUCGUGAGCUGGGUUUAGACCGUCGUGAGACAGGUCGGUUACUAUCUACUAGAGGUGUUUGAGGUCUGCGGGUAAGCUGCUUUUAGUACGAGAGGAACCAAGCAGCGGCGUCUCUGGUGUACCGGUUGUCUGACAAGGCAUCGCCGGGCAGCUACGCGCUUCGGAAUAAGAGCUGAAUGCAUCUAAGCUCGAAAUCUUUCCUAAAAAGAGACCUCAUUAAGGAUUCCGGUAAAAGACCGGUUUGAUAGAAACGGGAUGUAAGCACCAAGGCAACGAGGUGUUCAGUCCGCGUUCACUAAUUAUCCGUUCCUUUCCUA
rnacentral:rRNA from 1 species